rnacentral:rRNA from 1 species
CUGUGUUUGUACGUUACCCUAAAGGCACCAGAUCCCAUUUGAUCUUGGAAGCUAAGUAAGGUCAGUUCUGGUUAGCACUUGGCUGAGAGACCACAAAUGAACACCAGACUGUAGACCAAGC